rnacentral:RNase_P_RNA from 1 species
CCUCCGGUUUUGCAAGCCCCGCCCGCGGCAAGACCAAAUAGGGGACGAGGGUUGGCCUGUCCCGUUCGGAGUCCCGGGUUGGUCGCUCGAGCCCGAUGGAAACGUCGGGCCUAGAUGAAUGAUGGUCGCCCCUCCCCUCAACGGGAGGGGUCACAGAAUCCGGCUUACACCUCGGACCCGCUU